GGGGUGAAGGCGGCGGCGGCGCCGGGGCGGGCAGCUCCCCCUCUCGGGCCGGCGGUGCCUCCCUCGGGUCCCGCCCCCGCUGCUGCCGCGCUCCGGGAGGUGCAGGCCCGCUGGACGCCGCAGUCACCGAGCUGCCUUCGCGGGCGUGCAGGGGCCCGGAGGGAACGCCCCUUCCUGGCUGUCCCUGUGGCUUCGCUGAGGGACUUAAGCCGCCCCCGAGGCUGCGGCCAGACUCCGGGCAUCUGUCCGGCCGAAACGCCGGGGCGCCGGGGCCUGACUCCUCACACCGAGGUUUCCCGGGCACCGCGGCCCUUCCUCGGACGCCGACGGCGAAGGACCGGGACAGCCCAGGCAGGGGCGGCUCCUUCCGGCCACACCGACCUGCCCUUCGCAGGGCGUCCCGGGCGGGCGGAGGCAGAGAAAACCAGCUCCCAGGAACGCGAUCGCUCCCAGCGCCCGGGCCGGCCCAGAGCGAGGCCACCACGGGCGUACCGGGGCCGCCGCUCCCGAGACGGAAGUCCCGCCCCAGGCCGUGGAGGCCCCGCCCAUCGCUUCUUCCCAUCCCCCGCUUCCCCACGCUGUACUGACCGCAGGCCCUCGUCCCGCCCCGGGCCCCGCCCCUCCACGCCCAACCCCGCCCCGUCCCUUGGCCCCGCCCCCACGCCCCACGCCCCUCCCCUCCCGGCCCCACCCCUGUCUUGUCCCGCCCCCCGCCCCGCCCCCGCCUCGACCCCUGGGCGGGCGGCGGCUGCUGAGGCGACCGUUGCGCGCGCGGGCGGUGGCGCGGGCCGGAGCGCCCGGAGCGGGAGCGAGCGGCGCGGCCCGAUUGGGGAGCUCCACACCUGUGUUUCUCUUCAUUGGGUAGCCUUUGGAUUCUGCUUGAUAUAACUCUACAUUGUAAAAGAUUAGAAUCACUCAGAGAUAUAACAUAUUACUGUUUGUAAACCUGUAAAACAGAUCUUUGUAAUUUAUGAUAAUAUCUUUUCUGCUAAAUCUGGACUUUCUCCUCCAUGCAUCCCAGAAAGGUAAAGUUCCGGGUGAGAGAGGCUGCUUGGUCUGAGGCCUCUUCCUGGGAAUGGGGACCCUGGAACCAGCAGAGCCCUAUUUCAGCAUAUGUGUGGAUAUCCUGUCCCUGGAGGCUCUUUUGCUCUGUGGACUUUGGGUCCUUGGAGGAGUCUGCAGAGUCUUCUCGGGAGAAGCCCCCUCCUCUUCCUCAGCAACUUGAACUUGCCCUGGUGGCGUGGGGGUGGGGGGAGCAAAAGACGGGAGGAACUAAGCCAAUUCAUCUCCCUGGUGCCUGGCUUCCCCCCGCCCCACAGACCUGCCGCUGGUGUAUUCUCUAGAAGAUGGAGCUAGAGAAGUAAGCCAGUGUUCAUGCUUUACGCGAGUAGUAUGAUGUUAGCCAAACUGUGUCUCCAGCUUUAUAUGUCUCUCUGAAUGCCACUUUUACUGCUGCUGGACUGGAAUAAUGUAUACAUUUUUCUCAAAUGUUCAAGAAACAAAGCAUUUUGAAAGUUGCCAGUCCUGUUUUUUUUUUUUUUUUUUGAGACAGUCUCACUCUGUCACCAGACUGGAGUGCAGUGGUGUGAUCCUGGCUCACUGCAACCUCCGCCUCCUGGGUUCAAGCAAUUCUGCCUCAGCCUCCUGAGUAGCUGGGACUACAGGUGCGCACCACCAUGCCCGGCUAAUUUUUGUAUUUAUAGUAGAGGUGGGGUUUCACCAUGUUGGCCGAAAUGGUCUCAAUCUCUUGACCUCGUGAUCCACCUGCCUAGGCCUCCCAAAGUGCUGAGAUUACAGGUGUAAGCCACCGCGCCCGGCCUCAAGAUGCCAGCCUUCAAUUUCUUCCUUACUUCUCAUUUCUUUCUUUUAAUCAUUCAAAUCUGCCAUCCUUCUGAAUUCUAAAAACUGCUCUAUUUUUUGAGUGAAUUCUUUUCUAAGCGCGGAGUCGCCGUGCUGCUGCCUAGCCAUGUGUGGGACUCUCUGGGAUUGACUCUGGAAGAGAAACAAAGAGCAUUUGCUCCAUGAGGCCAGAAUUGAGGCGUUGAAUUCAUGUGUCCCUGAUGCUUGGCCUUUUGCUUUCUUUGGACUUGAAAUGUUUAAACCUCAAGAACUGACAUUUAUAAAAAACUGUAGGGGGGAAAUAGGAGAGGGACAGCGGGGGGUGGGGAGUUGGGGAGAGAUAGCAUGGGGAGAAAUGGCAGAUAUCGGUGAUGGGGAGGAAGGCAGCACAUCACACUGCCAUGUGUGUACAUGUGCAACAAUCUUGCAUGUUCUUCACAUGUACCCCAAAACCUAAAAUGCAAUUUAAAAACCCACACAAAACUAUGCAUGAUAACAAAAUGCUGACCUGGGACAUUUUAUGUAUCAUACUCUUCAGUUCAGCCUAAUAAAUUAUUCAAAAACUACUCA
rnacentral:lncRNA from 13 species